UAUCCAUGAAGUUGGCGGGCCAUCUAUUUGUAUCCAGCAGCAACUUUUACAGGCUCCUAUUGUAUUACUGCACACACAUAGAUGCUUUUAUCAUUUAAAAAAAUUAAAAAUCCUCUCUCCACCGUGCUGAACGGCAGUGUUUGCCAGCUGAAUACCCAACCCUCCUGCUUUUCUCCGCCUGUUCCCUCGCUGGCUGCCGGUGGUACGAGCUUGCCCCGCGAGGAACGCCGCCGUACUCUGCUCCCCGGGGUUAACGACUGCGAGUCUCCAUUCCGAGCUGCUCUGUGUGAAGCCCACGGGCCAAGGAUGGGAGAAGUUGGUUCUUUUGAAGCGGUUCGAGGCACGCCCUGCCGCAAAGGGAACUUCACGGGAGUCGGAAACACAGGCACACCGGUCUGAAACACUUACUGUACAAUAGCAGGAAUGUAGGAAGCCUUGGAAAUGAAUCUGCUCUCUCUAAGAAAGUGUCAAAGCUUUCAGAGGAAAACAAACUGAACUUAUCCCCCUAUCUUUAUGCAGAUUUCCCCCCGCUCCUCCAUCCCCCCCAAGUCUGGUUAAGGGCCGAGGCAGCAACUCGGGGUCAGGCACAUAUUAGUGUUACAGGAAAAUGGGUUACAAAAGGCAGGGGGAGAACAGACUUGCAAAAAGCCUCCUCUGUCAUUACGGCCAGACACAUUUUCAAAGCACACAAAGCACAUGGGUUAGCCCUCAGCUUAAUUGUAGCUCAAUAGUCUAAUUGCUCAUUCAAUACCAUUUCAUGACCGGCAGGCUGCUCUUCCACCCGUUAGCAAGUAUUUUAUUCCUUCUCUUCCCUUGCCCCACUUUCUCCACAAAUUCUCCCGUUUCCUUCUUUCCUUUCUAAAAGCAGGAGGGAAUCCUCUCCGUGCCUCCCCUGGCUUGUGAUCUGGUCUUCAGACAGUUAAACGUACAAGUGGAUAGAGACAAAGUUGUGAGUGUCGCUUACUGAGGCCAGAUAAUCCCCACCGAAUCCCACCUGCAACCUGCCCAGGCUCCAGCGUGGGGAGGGAAGGGGGAUUCCUGCCCACCUGGUGACCGACCUGUGCCCUGGAGUGGCAAACCACAUCUAGAGGCUACUACCGUGAGCUACAACACGAAGAUGAUGCAUAGCCUUGAUAAUUUUUAAUCUCAUCUACAGCACCAUCAGAAUAUUCACCAAACAAAAUGUUCAUAUUUACAUUAUUCAGAGCAAGUGAGCAGAGGAGGGUCCAGCAACAAGUCUUUCUUAGGCUUUGCCUAUGAUCAGCACCUGAUGCUUUACUGUCCAAUGUGUUUUAAAUACACAUUAGAAGCGAUGACUGCGAGGAAGACAAAAGCCCAGGUACCUGGGACAUCACUAUGUGGCACCUGCCUCUUUCCACUCGUGAAAGAAUCAUCAGGACCACAUUGCUGCUGAAGCAGAUGUGCCCUCAUUUCUGCAGAGCAAUACUCCUGGCCAGAUCAUUAUAAUUACCCGAUGUCAUUCGCCUUGACUCUUUGAGGGUCUAUAAAACUAAUUCCCUUUUCUUGGUGACAUUUAGCCCCGUAAAGAUCUAGUGCAGACCUGUGCUUUGUGCCCAACCCUGCAGACACUUUCUGUUGUGUACAGUUAAUUCUAGCACAAAUACUCCCACUGCCUCCAAGAGAAAUGCAAAGCAUGGCUAUAACAAUACUUGCCUACCUCCUGGGGUCAUUAUAAGGCAUAAUGAAUUCAGCUUUGUAAUAUAUUUAGAAAUCUUAUAUAUAGAAUUUAUAUCUACAUACACUUUGCACCCUUGUUAAAAUGGCUGUAGCUUUUACGGACAAUUUAAUUUAUGCUCAUAUUUUAAAAAUAAAAAAAACCUUCAAAUUCA
rnacentral:lncRNA from 1 species